GAUGAACGCUGGCGGCGUGCCUAACACAUGCAAGUCGAGCGAGAAACCUGCAAUUGAAACUUCGGUAGAUUUUGCGGGCGGAAAGCGGCGGACGGGUGAGUAACGCGUAGGCAACCUACCCUUUGCAGAGGGAUAGCAACGGGAAACCGUUAUUAAAACCUCAUAAUACCGACAUGUCAAAUGACAAGACGGUCAAAGAUUUAUCGGCAAAGGAUGGGCCUGCGUCUGAUUAGUUAGUUGGUAGGGUAACGGCCUAACAAGGCAGCGAUCAGUAGCCGACCUGAGAGGGUGAUCGGCCACAUUGGAACUGCGACACGGUCCAAACUCCUACGGGAGGCAGCAGUGGGGAAUAUUGCACAAUGGGCGAAAGCCUGAUGCAGCAACGCCGCGUGAAGGAUGAAGGCCUUUGGGUCGUAAACUUCUGUCCUUGGGGAAGAAAAAAAUGACGGUACCCCUGGAGGAAGUCCCGGCUAACUACGUGCCAGCCGCCGCGGUAA
rnacentral:rRNA from 1 species